rnacentral:rRNA from 1 species
CCUACGGGAGGCAGCAGUAGGGAAUCUUCCACAAUGGACGAAAGUCUGAUGGAGCAACACCGCGUGAGUGAAGAAGGGUUUCGGCUCGUAAAGCUCUGUUGUUGGAGAAGAACGUGCGUGAGAGUAACUGUUCACGCAGUGACGGUAUCCAACCAGAAAGUCACGGCUAACUACGUGCCAGCAGCCGCGGUAAUACGUAGGUGGC